GAGAGCACAGUACGAUGAAAGUUGUGAGUUGUGUUCAGGGGGGGGAGUUAUUGUCUAUCAUUGGCCUCUAUGGUAGAAUCAGGCAGGCAGGCCUGAGAGACGGUGGUUUACCCUAU
rnacentral:ncRNA from 1 species